rnacentral:rRNA from 1 species
GACGUAGGGCGCGAGCGCUGUCCGGAUUUAUUGGGCGUAAAGAGCUCGUAGGCGGCUUGUCGCGUCGAAUGUGAAAUCUCGGGGCUCAACUCCGAGCUUGCAUUCGAUACGGGCAGGCUAGAGUUCGGUAGGGGAGACUGGAAUUCCUGGUGUAGCGGUGAAAUGCGCAGAUAUCAGGAGGAACACCGGUGGCGAAGGCGGGUCUCUGGGCCGAUACUGACGCUGAGGAGCGAAAGCGUGGGGAGCGAACAGG